rnacentral:rRNA from 1 species
UGAACGCUGGCGGCAUGCCUAACACAUGCAAGUCGAACGGUAACGCGGAGAGCUUGCUCUCUGGCGACGAGUGGCGGACGGGUGAGUAAUACUUAGGAAUCUGCCCAGUAGUGGGGGACAACUCGAGGAAACUCGAGCUAAUACCGCAUACGCCCUACGGGGGAAAGCGGGGGAUCUUCGGACCUCGCGCUAUUGGAUGAGCCUAAGUCGGAUUAGCUUGUAGGUAGGGUAACGGCCUACCUAGGCGACGAUCCGUAGCUGGUCUGAGAGGACGAUCAGCCACACUGGGACUGAGACACGGCCCAGACUCCUACGGGAGGCAGCAGUGGGGAAUAUUGGACAAUGGGCGCAAGCCUGAUCCAGCAAUGCCGCGUGUGUGAAGAAGGCCUGCGGGUUGUAAAGCACUUUCAGUAGAGAAGAAAAGCUUACGGUUAAUAACCGUGAGUCUUGACGUAACCUACAGAAGAAGCACCGGCUAACUCC